AUGAGGCAAAGAAUUGAGAGUGCUCUCCAGCCUCUAAGAGCUAGCAAGAAAAUGGGGACUUUUCCAGUCCUGCAACCACAAAGGGAAUCCAGUCAACAACUGAAUUCAGUGAACACCUUGAAAGAACUUGGAAGAGAGCCCAAUGCUCCAAAGGGGAGCUGUAGCACAAGAGGCACCUUGAUUCCAGGCUUGCGAGAGGCUGGACAGAAGAUCCAGCUAAGUAUUGGGUGUCUGCCUCCAGACUUAUCUAGACACAUAGGAAACCAGCUGGAUAACUCAUUUCCUAGCCUCCCUUGCAGUAUGGUCAUGUGACCAAGUCCUCAUCCAUGAAUUUUAAGCAGGAAUGUUCCUGGAAUAGCACCUGAUACACAAAAGGCAUCCAGCCAAUGUUUGCUGAACAAAGAAAUGAAGGUAAUGUUUGAAAUGAAGGUAAUGUAUGAAGUUGAGAGGGAAUGAAGGGAAGGCAGAAUAAACACAGAAUUGAGAAUCAGGAAAACUUGAAGAGAUUAUUUCCAAAGCUCUUAUUGGUUACAGAGUUGGUUGGUGACAUAUCCAGAAUAUGAUUUUGCUGGCUAACUUCUAGUCUAUACUUUUACUACACCCAUGUAGCUACAAUUACAUUCAGAUCAGGAGACGUUUAGGAAGGACAUCUUCUUUCUUUCUUUUUUGAGAUGGAGUCUUGCUCUGUUGCCCAGGCUAGAGUGCAGUGGCAUGAUCUCAGCUCACUGGAACCUCUGCCUCCCAGGUUCAAGCGAUUCUCCUGUCUCAGCCUCCUGAGUAGCUGGGAUUACAGGCACCCACCACCGCACCCAGAUAAUUUUUGUAUUUUUAGCAGAGACAGGGUUUCAUCAUCUUGGUCAGGCUGGUCUUGAACUCCUGACCUCAGGUGAUCCACCUGCUUUGGCCUCCCAAAGUCCUGGGAUUACAGGUGGGAGCCACUGCACCUGGCCAGGAAGGACAGCUUAAGGAGAGGUUAUAGACAGGAGCAGGAGACAAAGGAGAAUAGAAGUGGGUACACAUACCAAUGAGCAUGGGUGUUGAUAUGGUUUGGCUGUGUCCCCACCCAAAUCAUCUUGAAUUCUAACUCCCACAAUUCCCUUGUGUCAUGGGAGGGACCCAGUGGGAGGUAAUUGAAUCAUGGGGGUAGGUCUUUCUUGUGCUGUUCUCAUGAUAGUGAAUAAGUCUCACGAGAUCUGUGGUUUUUAUAAGCAGUUUCCCCUUUCGCUUGGCUCUCAUUCUCUCGUCUCAUGCCAUGUAAGACAUGCCUUUUGCUUUCCACUAUGAUUGUAAGGCCUCCCCAGCCAUGUGGAACUGUGAGUCAAUUAAACCUCUUUUUCUCUGUAGACUGUCCAGUCUUGGGUAUGUAUUUAUCAGCAGCAUGAAAACAGACUCAUACAGGUGUGUACCCCU
rnacentral:lncRNA from 10 species